rnacentral:lncRNA from 1 species
AAGGACUUCAUCUACCGUGAGGGCGCGGGGCAAAGAGCCUCCAUUCAACCGCUGCCAGUGACGACUGAGUCCCCCUUCCACGCAACGGCCGGCAGGACCAGUGAGACUGAGGGGGAGGAGCGCCGUGGCGAGAGACUGGCGUUUAUAAUCAAACCUGUGGUCCCGCGAUCCUACUUGAGGGAAAACAGGCUAUCUCUUUAGCCCCGCCCCGCGCUUUGCAUUCUGGGAAGCGGAGUUCCAGCCUUUCUCUUUCCGCGGGAGGGAAUGAAAGGGAGGGGUAGACUGAGAACGAAUCAUCUCAGUACAACUGGGAAUUUAGCCACAUAGGGGUUGGAUUCCACCGCAAGUAAAAAGUGGUGGAUGUGCCCAAGACACAGGGAAGAAAAAGAAGUAAACAGGGAAGUACAACACAGACUCUGAAAUGGGGCAUCAUGGAAGACGGAGCUUUGUCGUCUUGGUCUUUGC